UUUGGAGGGCAAGUCUGGUGCCAGCAGCCGCGGUAAUUCCAGCUCCAAUAGCGUAUAUUAAAGUUGUUGCAGUUAAAAAGCUCGUAGUUGAAUUUCGGGAUCAUCAGGUUGGUCGUGCCACUGGUAUGUACUUGCCUCGGUGGUCCCUCCCUCUUGAAGAACCGUAAUGCCAUUAAUUUGGUGUUGCGGGGAAUCAGGACUGUUACUUUGAAAAAAUUAGAGUGUUUAAAGCAGGCAAACGCUUGAAUGCAUUAGCAUGGAAUAAUGAAAUAGGACGUUUGAUCUUAUUUUGUUGGUUUCUAGGAUCGACGUAAUGAUUAAUAGGGAUAGUUGGGGGCAUUAGUAUUCAAUUGUCAGAGGUGAAAUUCUUGGAUUUAUUGAAGACUGACUACUGCGAAAGCAUUUGCCAAGGAUGUUUUCAUUAAUCAAGAACGAAAGUUAGGGGAUCGAAGACGAUCAGAUACCGUCGUAGUCUUAACCAUAAACUAUGCCGACUAGGGAUCGGACGAUGUUAACUUUUCUUGACUCGUUCGGCGCCUUACGGGAAAC
rnacentral:rRNA from 1 species